GGACGAACGCUGGCGGCGUGCCUAACACAUGCAAGUCGAGCGGGGUAGCCGGAAGGUGUAGCGAUACAGCGGAGGGGUACCUAGCGGCGAACGGGUGAGUAACGCGUGGGCAAUCUGCCCCCGGGGGCGGGAUAACAGACCGAAAGGCCUGCUAAUACCGCAUGAAGCCGUCCUAUCGCAUGAUAAGACGGUAAAAGGGGAAACCCGCCUGGGGAGGAGCCCGCGUCCCAUUAGCUAGUUGGUGGUGUAAAGGACCACCAAGGCGAUGAUGGGUAGCCGGCCUGAGAGGGUGAACGGCCACAUUGGGACUGAGACACGGCCCAGACUCCUACGGGGGGCAGCAGUGAGGGAUUUUCGGCAAUGGUCGAAAGACUGACCCAGCCAUGCCGCGUGCAGGAUGAAGGCCCUAUGGGUUGUAAACUGCUUUUAGCCGGGAAUAAACACCCGUUUUAUAACGGGCCCGAAGGUACCGGCUGAAUAAGCAUCGGCUAACUCCGUGCCAGCAGCCGCGGUAAUACGGAGGAUGCAAGCGUUAUCCGGAUUCACUGGGUUUAAAGGGUGCGCAGGCGGACAUUUAAGUCAGGGGUGAAAUCCUACAGCUUAACUGUAGAACUGCCCUUGAUACUGAAUGCCUAGAGUAAAGCUGAAGUNNNCGGAAUGUGUUGUGUAGCGGUGAAAUGCUUAGAUAUAACACAGAACACCAAUCGCGAAGGCAGCUCACUAAACUUUAACUGACGCUCAUGCACGAAAGCGUGGGNNAGCAAACAGGAUUAGAUACCCUGGUAGUCCACGCCCUAAACGAUGAUCACUCGCUGUUGGCGAUAUAUUGUCAGUGGCUAAGCAAAAGUGAUAAGUGAUCCACCUGGGGAGUACGACCGCAAGGUUGAAACUCAAAGGAAUUGACGGGGGCCCGCACAAGCGGAGGAGCAUGUGGUUUAAUUCGAUGAUACGCGAGGAACCUUACCAGGGCUCGAACGCAGGAGGAAUACUCCCGAAAGGAAGUAGCCAGAAAUGGCCGCCUGCGAGGUGCUGCAUGGUUGUCGUCAGCUCGUGCCGUGAGGUGUCAGGUUAAGUCCUAUAACGAGCGCAACCCCUAUUCAUAGUUGCCAGCAUAUUACGGUGGGGACUCUAUGAAAACUGCCUGCGCAAGCAGUGAGGAAGGUGGGGAUGACGUCAAAUCAGCACGGCCCUUAUGUCCUGGGCUACACACGUGCUACAAUGGCCGGUACAGAAGGCCGCAACCACGCAAGUGGAAGCUAAUCCCUAAAACCGGUCUCAGUUCGGAUUGGAGUCUGCAACCCGACUCCAUGAAGCCGGAUUCGCUAGUAAUCGCACAUCAGCCAUGGCGUGGUGAAUACGUUCCCGGGCCU
rnacentral:rRNA from 1 species